rnacentral:rRNA from 1 species
GACGAACCGAGCGAACGUUGUUCGGAAUCACUGGGCUUAAAGGGCGCGUAGGCGGGCGGACAAGUCAAGGGUGAAAGCCCCCGGCUCAACCGGGGAAGUGCCCCUGAUACUGGCCGCCUCGAGGGAGGUAGGGGCGUGCGGAACUUCCGGUGGAGCGGUGAAAUGCGUAGAUAUCGGAAGGAACACCGGUGGCGAAAGCGGCGCGCUGGACCUCUUCUGACGCUGAGGCGCGAAAGCCAGGGGAGCGAACGGG